rnacentral:rRNA from 1 species
AUUGAACGCUGGCGGCAGGCCUAACACAUGCAAGUCGAGCGAGCGGCGGACGGGUGAGUAAUGUCUGGGAAACUGCCUGCUGGCGGGGGAUAACUACUGGAAACGGUAGCUAAUACCACAUACCAUCAGAUGUGCCCAGAUGGGAUUAGCUAGGAGGUGGGGUAACGGCUCCCCUAGGCGACGAUCCCUAGCUGGUCUGCGAGGAUUACCAGCCACACUGGAACUGAGACACGGGCCAGAGUCUGACGGGAGGCAGAAGUGGGGAAUAUUGCACAAUGGGCGAAAGCCUGAUGCAGCCAUGCCGCGUGUAUGAAGAAGGCCUUCGGGUUGUAAAGUACUUUAAGCGGGGAGGCGUUACCCGCAGAAGAAGCACCGGCUAACUCCGUGCGAGCAGCCGCGGUAAUUC